UACGGGGGGGCAAGCGUUGUUCGGAAUUACUGGGCGUAAAGGGCUCGUAGGCGGCCAACUAAGUCGGAUGUGAAAUCCCCAAGCUUAACUUGGGAACUGCAUCCGAUACUGGAUGGCUUGAAUCCGGGAGAGGGAUGUGGAAUUCCAGGUGUAGCGGUGAAAUGCGUAGAUAUCUGGAGGAACACCGGUGGCGAAGGCAGGUCUCUGGGCAUUAACUGACGCUGAGGAGCGAAAGCAUGGGAGCGAACAGG
rnacentral:rRNA from 1 species